CAACCUUAUUGCGCCCCAUGGGCGACUUGGUGUAGCGCGGACCCCGGGGAUGACUUCCUAACCGCAGCACUGUCAGUGUAAACGUGCGGCAGGUGACCACACGUCAGCAUCCGCUCCCGUAGGGACAGUGCCAACACUUCCGAACUCGGGGUGUGUCAGAUGCCUGGUCCACCCGAAGUAGUUCUCUGUGCUCUAGGCGAGUGCCGCUGCUCUGCAGCACCAGGUAAGAGAGGCGUGGCGUCCUCCAGUGGGCGAGGCGCCAGGCGCGGCGCCUCCGGGCCGGGCGCGGCUUCCCGCUUCAAAUCCGGGAUGCCCGCCCUCGUCCAAUCAGCGGGCUCGUCCCUUCGCGCCGUCCAAUCCAAAGCUGGCUUGGAGUCCCCGCCCCUCGGUCCGUGUAGCGAACCGACGUAAACCCCAGGGGCGCACGGUACGGUCGGCCGCCGUGUGGGGACGCGCGCACGCGCACUGGCAGAGGCGCUGGACGCCGGACCUCUCUUUCGCGGACUUUCUGCCGGCCGGGCGCUCGCGGCCGGCGUCGCGGGCUCGACUUUGUUCGCUGAAGCAUGAGGUCCCUUUCGAGGCCGUCGCCUGGAGGACAGCUGUUUUCAUGACAGUGUUUUCACUCGCUGUUAUCAUUUUGAGGUCAUUCGACUGGAGUUUUUACUGCUCCAAGGUCAACUUUUUCUCCGGAUUCCAGUUUUUAGGGCAGUUUACGGUAAGUUUUGAAAACUGUUAUGCUAGAUGCCUACCUAAUGGUAAAGCGUAUCUUAGAACGUUGGGGAAGUUUGACUUUGGCUUUUUCCCACAGCUCAUACUUUUAAGUGUGUUCAGUUGUGCACGUAGGCUUCCAGUCGACAACUACAGCAGAUGAUAUUUUAUGUAUCCAGGCAUGAAAUUAAAGCAAUUAAAUAUCAGUAAACUCGAGCAGGAUGUUUUGAAGUUACUGCUUUAAGGACAUACCAAGAGGAAUCCCAAAGCUGGCUGCUUAGUUCAAGUGCAGUAAAAGGAAAGAUAAUAUUGUCCUCGUUUUAGAUGAGGAGGAGGGCUGGGUAAUGCAAUAGGGACGGAAGUUAGGGCAUCUUCCCUUCUAGGAAAACUUUAGGAAUGUGGCAUGUCCAUAGAUGGCUUAGAACAAGUGUAGUCCUUUCUGGAAAAGAGAGACUGGGCGGUAGAUUACAUCUGGAGGAAUCUUCCCCUGGAUUGUGUUACUAUUGCACCGACAGCAAAGCUCUAUUCCUGCACUUAGUACUGUAUCAUAGUGGGUAGGGAUUGUCAGCUUUCUGAGGGGAGCCACCUUAUUUAUUGUUGCUUCACACAGCCAGGCAGAGUGUCUUUCACCGUUUGUUUCUGAUAAUGAUUGUUGCAUGAAUGAUCUUUCCUUGAUAUCUGGAUUUUCUUAGAUUUGAUUCUUUCUAAGUGGAGAUAACCCUUAAAGAGAUGGUAUACAUUUUGAUGUGGUAUUAUAUAUUUGUAAGUGAAUGAGUAGCUUAGUAACUACAAGACUAGAUGUGAGGAGGCUACUUGGAAGACUUGCGUAGGAAUUUAUUUUAUUUUAUUUUUUAUUAAUUUAUUAUUUUUGCUGUGUUGGGUCUUCAUUUCUGUGCGUGGACUUUCUCUAGUUGUGGCAAGCAGGGGCCACUCUUCAUCGCGGUGCACGGGCCUCUCACUAUCGCAGCCUCUCUUGUUGCGGAGCACAAGCUCCAGAUGCGCCGGCUUAGUAGUUGUGGCUCACGGGCCUAGUUGUUCCGCGGCAUGUGGGAUCUUCCCAGACCAGGGCUCGAACCUGUGUCCCCUGCAUUGGCAGGCAGAUUCUUAACCACUGCGCCACCAGGGAAGCCCUAUUUCAUUUUUUAAAAAUAUUUAUUUAUUUAUAUAUUUAGCUUCACCGGGUCUUAGUUGCAGCAUGCGGGAUCUAGUUCCCUGACCAGGGAUCAAACCCAGGCCUCCUGCAUUUGGAGU
ensembl:lncRNA